ensembl:lncRNA
CUACAAUAACAUAUAGUGCGAUUCUGGUAGAGUAUCCUUAAAAAAAGAAAAAAAGAAAAAACAGUUUUCAAGCUUAUUUUAUGGUGGUUCAGGCUUCUCAGUGCGUACUUUUUUUUUUUCAGGGAGCUGCAGGCCUGUCCUGUUGGGCAAUGGGGCUGUGAACUGAUGCUGGUGGGAUUCCUGCGUUGGGCAAUGGAAGCGUUAAUCCAACAGUCAGGAGGUGUGGUUGUGAAAGAGCCCAGCUGGGCCCUUAGUACACACCAACAGAAGGAUAUGGAACAACCACGUAGUUGCAUGGAGCUGCAGUUGCACCACUUCCUCCCCUCUAACAAGAUAGGGCUCAAAGGAGAUGCUGCUGGAUGUACCAAUGCAGACAGCCAGGGGCUCCCAUAGUGCAGUCCUAUGGCCAGCGACGAGUAUCUCAGUCCAUGUGAGAUGGUUGUGUGGCAUCUGUGCCCGAAGCAAGAAGAAAGUUCCAGCUCUGCCGUGGCCACAAGCAUUGGGGCAGUUGGGUGAGUGUGACUGGCUCGGCAUCGUGUCCACAUUCAUGGCUCUCCAGCAAAAAUGUGUGGUAUGUUUGGGGAGUAUCAGUAGUGAGCUGUGGUAACCAUGGAAAUGUGGCUGUUUAGCAAAUUGUAGAGAGGAAAAUAAAACAGAAACGGCCAAAGGAAUGAAUUAGAGCUACCCCUUGGCAAGGGUGACAUAGAAAGUGGUGCUAUUUUUUACUUUAAAAACAAGCAAACAGUAAACCUCCAAACACGUACGUAUGUGAAACUUGUACUUUUUCAUUCAUUGCUAGCUGUCUGCUCUGACGUGUGGAAAAUAUUUGCAGGGUUGUUGCCAUGUCUCCCACGUUUUGUUUGUGGUCCCACCUCGCCUUGCUGAGAUGGAUGUUUCUCACAAAGCCACGAGUGCUGCCAAGUGGGCUCCUCUUUGUCACCUCUACAACCCUCUACCUUCUCUUUGUGCAAAAAUGUGCUCUUGGCAGCCUUGGGUUCACCUGCUUUGGAGGUAGGUCUGUGCCAGCUCUCCUCUUCUCCUCUUCUAGGAAAGCUUUCCUAGUGCUUGUGUUGGAGAGGAACUCGUCAGCAAGAGGUUUCAGGCUGCAUUGCACUGGGAGUCCCCCAGAGAAAUGCCAAUUGCAAUGCAGUGCUGAUCUGCAGCAGCCAUGGCUCCAUCCUUAGCAAUAUGGGCAGCCAACCAAGAGCAAAGGAAGCAGUUUAUUCAGAGGAAGGGUUGCCUUGCUCUCCUCUUGGGCUCCCUUUUUGGGAUGCAGAUACACAAGUCCCACAGCGCAGGCAUGUGGGGCCACCUUUGUCCUUGUGAUGGACCCCAUGCACCCACCAGGGAUGUGGCUGGGAAACCUGGGCUCUGUGAGUGCAGACAGUGACAAAUGAGGGGUUACUGGAAAGUAUUCAUCCAACGAAACUGCAUGCAGCAUGACUCAUCUGAGAGCAGACUAGCAAGGCAAGUCACCUCUCAUCUUAAAACACAAAGCACAACUAGGUUCACCCAAGUAUAGCUAUCCUUCUUAGGGAGCCCCAUUACUCUAUCAGCAAGGCAUGUUGUGCUGUGCUGGCUGCAGGUCACACAACCACAGCACGCUAAUCCUGGCUGCCAUAAAGCAGCUGCUCAACGUUUGCAUGUGAUUUAUGGUAACACACUGCAAACAUAUAUGUAUGCCUGUCUAUGUGAAAGAAUAAUACACAAGCACUGAUCUGAAUGGAAGAGAAAUCCUGAUUAUUACUAUAGUGGCAGCGAAUUUAUUUCUUGCAUGUCGCAAGCCACAUAUUGCCCAAAUUCCUUUGUAGUGUACAUAAAUAAUAACAAUAAAACAACAACAAACUCUAUUGAGCUUCA